rfam:Apaloderma vittatum contig48453, whole genome shotgun sequence.
GGCCGGUUAGCUCAGUCAGUUGAGCAUGGCGUUAACAACGCUAAGGUCGCGGGUUCGAUUCCCGUUCAGUCCC